CUGCUGGUUAUGUAUCUGGUUAUGUAUAUUGAUAAUCAUUAUCACGAUCAUCGUUAGCAUAGCGGAUGUUAUUUGACGACAUCAUACUAUGGCAAAGUUGUUUCCUACUAAUUAUUUGGCUAGCGAUGUAAUCAUAUUUCCAUGCCACUCUAAGUUAGUGUCGAGGGCACAAUAUACAUAUUGUUAUUCGAGAGAUGUCCUUUUUGCAACCAAACAUGCAGUAUAGAGACCAGCAAGGGGGCCCUCGCUGUGAGCAUUCCAAUUGCAAGUAUCCGGCCAGCAACCUUCACCUGUCUGCGGCAACAGCCUUCACAGGCUCAUCAUUUGUAAAAAAGAAAAUACAGAAGUAUCUUUGAUAAGGGGCCAGGAGCUGAUCUACGCUGCUAUGCCCAUCAAAGGGGCUCUGGCAAAAACCUCACUUCCAGCCUCACCUCUUUCCUGCUCACCAACGGUCGUUGAUGGGGAGAACAGCAUUAGAAACAUGUAUGGGGCCAGUACAUGGAGACUUGCAAGAUGAUGUGAUGAAGUCCAGACUGACAGAUGGGCUUGAUACUGAUGUCUCUGAAAGGAGAGAGCGCUUACACUCUGCAUAAACAUAUUUACAAGAAACA